rnacentral:rRNA from 1 species
GUAGGUGGCAAGCGUUGUCCGGAAUUAUUGGGCGUAAAGCGCGCGCAGGCGGUUCUUUAAGUCUGAUGUGAAAGCCCACGGCUCAACCGUGGAGGGUCAUUGGAAACUGGAGAACUUGAGUACAGAAGAGGAAAGCGGAAUUCCACGUGUAGCGGUGAAAUGCGUAGAGAUGUGGAGGAACACCAGUGGCGAAGGCGGCUUUCUGGUCUGUAGCUGACGCUGAGGCGCGAAAGCGUGGGGGGGAGCAAACAGGAUUAGAUACCCUGGUAGUCCACGCCGUAAACGAUGAGUGCUAAGUGGUUAGGGGGUUUCCGCCCCCCCCUUAGUGCUGCAGCUAACGCAUUAAGCACUCCGCCUGGGGAGUACGGCCGCAAGGCUG